rnacentral:lncRNA from 1 species
CGGCUCACUGCAACCUCUACCUCCCAGGUUCAAGAGAUUCUUGUGCCUCAGCCUCUUGAGUAGCUGGUACCACAGGUGCAUGCCACCAUACCCGGCUAAUUUUUGUUUUGUUUUGUUUUUGUAGAGACAAGGUUUCACCAUGUUGGCCAGGCUGGUCUUGAACUCCUGGCAUCGAGUGAUCAAUCUGUCUUGGCCUCCCAAAGUGCUGGGAUUACAGGCAUGAGCCACCGCACCCAUCUUCCUUUAGUUUUCAGUAACAACAUAAAAUAUUCUAUAGGGACAG